CAGUAGCCGCGGGAAUACGAGGGGGGCAAGCGUUGUCCGGAAUUAUUGGGCGUAAAGGGCUCGCAGGCGGUUUCUUAAGUCUGAUGUGAAAGCCCCCGGCUCAACCGGGGAGGGUCAUUGGAAACUGGGAAACUUGAGCGCAGAAGAGGAGAGUGGAAUUCCACGUGUAGCGGUGAAAUGCGUAGAGAUGUGGAGGAACACCAGUGGCGAAGGCGACUCUCUGGUCUGUAACUGACGCUGAGGAGCGAAAGCGUGGGGAGCGAACAGGAUUAGAUACCCCUGUAGUCCCUGUCUCUUAUAC
rnacentral:rRNA from 1 species